ACGGAAGGCAGCAGUGGGGGAUAUUGCACAAUGGGGGAAACCCUGAUGCAGCGACGCCGCGUGAGCGAAGAAGUAUUUCGGUAUGUAAAGCUCUAUCAGCAGGGAAGAAAAUGACGGUACCUGACUAAGAAGCUCCGGCUAAAUACGUGCCAGCAGCCGCGGUAAUACGUAUGGAGCAAGCGUUAUCCGGAUUUACUGGGUGUAAGGGGAGCGUAGACGGUUUGCCAAGUCUGAUGUGAAAGGUGGGGGCUCAACCCCCAAACUGCAUUGGAAACUGGUAGACUAGAGUGUCGGAGAGGUAAGUGGAAUUCCUAGUGUAGCGGUGAAAUGCGUAGAUAUUAGGAGGAACACCAGUGGCGAAGGCGGCUUACUGGACGAUAACUGACGUUGAGGCUCGAAAGCGUGGGGAGCAAACAGGAUUAGAUACCCUGGUA
rnacentral:rRNA from 1 species